AAGUCGUAACAAGGUUUCCGUAGGUGAACCUGCGGAAGGAUCAUUAUCGAUUCAACGAAGUGCCUGUGAGUUGUGCUGGCCUCUCUCGGGGCAUGUGCACGCUUCAUGGGUCUUCACACAUCCACACCUGUGAACCAAUUGUAGGUCUUUCGGGACCUAUGUCUUCUCAUAACACACUGUAUGUCUAGAAUGUCAUUAUGAUUAUCGUCUGCUUCCUUUGUGGAGUUGGGCCGAUAAGAUAAACAAUAUACAACUUUCAGCAACGGAUCUCUUGGCUCUC
rnacentral:misc_RNA from 1 species